CUUUCAACCCAACGCUGAAUCCAUCCGCAACCAGAUCAUCCAUCGUUUUUUGAAAUGUGGUAUCUGCUAAUUUAUUACAGGCGUUAAGUCGGUUAUUGCAUGUGAAAAUACUCUUGAUCAGAGCACGGUUACGCCCGGUCAGAGGAUGGAGACGUAGUCACCGAGCCUUUUCUCUUAGUGGUAGAGGAGGCUGCAGAGCUUCGUUCUUGUGCUCGGCUGUUAGAAUAGGAACGGUGUCUUAUCCACCUCUUGUCAUUGCGCUUGCAUGUUCCGUGCUUUUUUCUGGAAGGGACUGAAGGCUUGGUGCGUAUUCUCUGUCUCUCGCGCUGUGACUCCGUGACUAGGCAAGCAGUUGACGCAAGUUUAGGCUACUUCAAGCAACAGGCGCAGCACCAGUAGUUGCAGUGACAGGUCACUCACUCCCUCUCCGCUGGUGCUAUGGUGCUGAAAUGGGUGCCGGCAUUUAUUUUAAUCACCUCAUUAGAACUGUGCAAUCCCGCCUUUCUACGAGGAUUGAAUGAGAGUCGACUUCAAAGAAAUUGGAGCUGGAAGAUGGAGUUGUACUUUUAUGUUUUGUGAAAAUAUGUAAAACGUAUCUAAAGGGUAAAGGUUUGGUUUCAAUGAGAAGUAGCUGUCAGACAGUGUUCUGGUGUAUUGCGUCUUGCACAAGCAUUUCGCUAUACUCGCAAUAACAUCUGCUAAUCACGUGUAUGUGACCAAUAAAAUUUGAUUUGAUAUGACACCAAGUGAUGGGCAAAAGCUUUCAAGCAUUCUAUUUCUCUGCUCAUGCAUCCAAGUCGUGUUGGGUCCCUUCUAUAGGUCUCUCUACUUCAUCCCUCCCAUGUCUCUCCCAUCUCAACCACACUAUAGCCUACCCAUCUAUCUGUCUCUUGCUUAUGUCUAGCGAAUGAUUCAGAAAAAGAUAAUGGGCGUAACUAAAAAGGGAAAAGGACCAUUCACGCUGAGUUGGAACAAUAGACAGCAACUCACAAUGGACAAUGCAUAGAGGAGCAGAACUGUUUGGGUUUCUGGACACGUCCACACCAGGCGGGCCUGUGAGGGGAACCAAUGACAGAUAUGUGCAGCUUCCCUCCGAAGCGGUGAGAAAAUGUGGUGCGGGACUGACUUGCAGACUGAUUACUUGCACAUAUCAGAGAGUCGUCUCUGCUAGUUGGCUUGUCUCAGGCCACUCAAGCAAAAGUAAAGUCAGUGUUUGGCAUAAACUGCUCCGGGGUGGAUUGACUCAUUGUAUAGCUAAAGUGCAUCCAGAUAGCUCCGGGUUUUUUCUCUCUAUGGGAUUGGUUCAAUAUCGUAUAGCUGCAGCAAACUCUACACUGCUGCUGCAGAGCUAGAGUUUUUCUAUAACUGAAAUUCAGUUUGGACAUCAGUAAGGCCUAUUUUAAUGGAUUACCCCAAGUUCACGGUAUGCAACAGGUGCUGAAAUCAGAGAGAGACUUUCAUCCAUAAGCAAUUGCCUUAAGGAGCAGGAGAAACAGAGAGAAAGAAGAUUCGGAAGAGAAGGAGAGUGGGAGUGGGUGGAAGGAGAGGAAAAGAAUGGAGCAGUGAGUGGUGAACCAGGGAGCAGGUGAACCCAGUAGUGGAUGGCCAUAGGCUCUCUGGCUCUUCUCUGCUCCGUGCAGGGGUCUCAGGGAGCUGGCUGGGGCCAGCCAGGCAACGGCGGAGUGGGCAGGCGAGUCGAGGCGAGGGGAGGCAAAGUAGGCUCUCAUCCCCGCUGGCAAGUUGCUCCUUGGCAGCGCGGAGUAGCAAAUCAAUAUGGAGGAGAGAGGCUAGCAGGGGUCUCCCAGCACUGCCCCUGGCCCUAGAGCCCAGGGACCCAGCGCUGCCAGCCCUCUCUUCCCUCUCCCAGUCCCAGAACCAGCCAACCCGCACUGUGUGUGUGUGUGUGUGUGUGUGAGAGCGCAUGUCUGUGUGUGUGGUUCCGCCGGAGGGGCUUUCCUGGCUCAAGACCACUUGAUAUAACUUUGCCUGUGAGCGAGAGAGCGAAGGAGAGAGAGAAUAAAAAAUGGACGUCAAAGGUCUUUUUCUCCUAUUUUUCCCUCUGAUUACUCGUUUCACCUGACUGUUUGAAUGAGAGUUCAGUGAAAAGGCCUCUUCCAUUGAAUUGAACAGGCGUCUCUCGUCAGUCCCCCUCCAGUCAUGAACUGUACAGCCACCAUGCUCUCCACAUCUGAUGAACCAGGAUAAAAGGCCAAUUUGAACUACAGAUUCAGAUUAAAUCUUGUAUUUUUCGCCUCCCAUUUUCUUCCUUAUGACUCAGGUCACUAUCAGAGGAUAUGGCAGAGGUUAUUGAUCUAAAUGGAGCUGGAUUUAGUCCAGUACCUUUCACUGUCUGUGGUGGUUACAUGCUGUAGUAGUAACUGAUAACUUCACUAUACAACUGAACUACAUUCAGGAGUGAAGGAGUCCUAAUUGAGUGAAAGAUGAAAAGGACUGUGGACAUAUUUUAUAGUGCCUGAACAGUGGCCCUCUCCACCAGUUCUAUUUUUCCUUCAUAGUUGAAGAAUCCACACAAGAAGCCCUAUCUUUAGAUACUCAAAAAACUACCAACAAUUGCAAUGGAAUGAAAAUGACUCAAUCAUUGCUGAAUGGAAAGCCUGAGAUGCAAAAUGCAGAAUUUUAUUUUUUCAUUGGGGAAGAAAAGGAUUGUCCAUAUCUGCUGGGCUGGAGAGGACAAACGGGUCAGAGCUAGUUUGUGCUUGCAACAGGAACACCUGCACAGAGAGAGAUCUACAAACAACACAAUGGGGCAGACUUCACUUGAUGCUGAGGCUACAAUGGCAAUGCAGUGAACGGAUCAAGCAUCAAUGUCCUGACCAGACCUGACCAGACCUGACCAGAACUGACCAGACCUGCAUAAUGUCCUGACCUGACCUGACCAGACCUGACCAAAACUGACCAGACCUGCAUAAUGUCCUGACCUGACCAGACCAGACCUGACCAGACCUGACCUGACCAGACCUGCCCUGACCUGACCAGCAUAAUGUCCUGACCUGACCUGACCUGACCAGACCUGACCUGACCAGACCAGCAUAAUGUCCUGACCAGAUCUGACCUGACCUGACCUGACCUGACCUGACCUGACCUGACCAGACCAGCAUAAUGUCCUGACCAGAUCUGACCUGACCUGACCAGACCAGCCCAGCGUAAUGUCCUGACCAGACCUGACCAGCACAAUGUCCUGACCUGACCUGACCUGACCUGAACAGACCUGAACUGCCAUGACCAGACCUGACCAGACCAGACCUGACCAGCAUAAUGUCCUGACCUGACCUGACCUGACCUGAACAGACCUGAACUGCCAUGACCAGACCUGACCAGACCAGACCUGACCAGCAUAAUGUCCUGACCAGAUCUGACCUGACCUGGCCAGACCUGACCAGACCAGACCUGACCUGACCUGACCAGACCUGACCUGACCAGCAUAAUGUCCUGACCAGAUCUGACCAGACCUGACCAGACCUGACCAGACCAGACCAGACCUGACCUGAACAGCAUA